rnacentral:tRNA from 1 species
GGGGAUUUAGCUCAGUGGUAGAGCGCUUGCCUAGUAAGCACGAGGCCCUGGAUUCAGUCCUCA